rnacentral:rRNA from 1 species
AUGAUCGACCACCGUCGUUUCGAUCUUUCGGCCCCUUUCACCAAGCACGAGGUUUGGUGGGCCAUUAAGCUGCUGCCUACCGGCAAGGCACCGGGCCCGGAUGGGUUCUCAGCGGAGUUCCUUCGCCAUUGCUGGGGCACAAUUAAGUGCGACUUCAUGGAGGCUUUCGAUAAGCUUUACCAUAUGAAUGGUCAAGGAUUCCACUACCUAAAUGAAGCCUUCAUCACCCUCCUCGCGAAGCGUCCAGAUGCCUCCAUCCUGUUCGACUACGUGCCGAUUAGCCUGAUUCACCUAGUUGCCAAGCUUGUAGCCAAGGACCUUGCUCUGUGGCUCGCCCCGCGGCUCGGGGAGCUUGUUUCCGCUAGCCAGAGCGCACUCAUUGUCGGGCACUGCAUCCAUGACAAUUUUAUGCUAGUUCAGCACACAGGACGACGCCUACACCAGGCCGGUGCCCAUCGGGUCCUCCUCAAGCAUGAUAUCUCCCGGGCGUUCGAUUCCGUAUCCUGGCCCUUCUUGCUGGAGGUCCUUUGUCACCUUGGCUUCGGUCAGAGAUGGUGCGAGUGGGUGUCCAUUCUGUUAUCUUUGGCUAGCGCACGCAUCCUCGUGAAUGGCUCGCCGGGGCCGCCGAUUCUUCACGCUAAGGGCAUCCGGCAGGGUGACCCGGUCUCCCUUGUGCUCUUCACGCCGGUGAUCGAUGCCCUGAACUCCCUUCUGCAACAUGCCCUUGGAGCCGGCAUCCUGCGCAGACUGACCGCCCGACAUCUCGUCUCGAGUGUCCAUGUAUGCCGAUGA